rnacentral:rRNA from 1 species
GUGUAGUGUAGCGGUGAAAUGCUUAGAUAUUACACAGAACACCGAUUGCGAAGGCAGCUUACUAUACCAGCACUGACACUGAUGCACGAAAGCGUGGGGAGCGAACAGGAUUAGAUACCCUGGUAGUCCACGCCGUAAACGAUGAUAACUGGUUGUGCGCGAUACACAGUGCGCGACUGAGGGAAACCAUUAAGUUAUCCACCUGGGGAGUACGUUGGCAACAAUGAAACUCAAAGGAAUUGACGGGGGCCCGCACAAGCGGAGGAACAUGUGGUUUAAUUCGAUGAUACGCGAGGAACCUUACCUGGGCUUAAAUGUAGAGUGCAUUCUUUAGAAAUAGAGAUUUCCUUCGGGACUCUUUACAAGGUGCUGCAUGGUUGUCGUCAGCUCGUGCCGUGAGGUGUCGGGUUAAGUCCCAUAACGAGCGCAACCCCUAUCGUUAGUUGCUAGCAGGUAAUGCUGAGGACUCUAACGAAACUGCCGGUGUAAACCGAGAGGAAGGUGGGGAUGACGUCAAAUCAGCACGGCCCUUAUGUCCAGGGCUACACACGUGUUACAAUGGUCGAUACAAUGGGCAGCUACCUGGUGACAGGAUGCUAAUCUCCAAAGUCGAUCUCAGUUCGGAUCGAAGUCUGCAACUCGACUUCGUGAAGUUGGAUUCGCUAGUAAUCGUAUAUCAGCAAUGAUACGGUGAAUACGUUCCCGGGCCUUGUACACACCGCCCGUCAAACCAUGGAAGCUGGGGGUACCUGAAGUACGUGACCGCAAGGAGCGUCCUAGGGUAAAACUGGUAACUGGGGUUAAGUCGUAACAAGGUAGC